rnacentral:rRNA from 1 species
AUUGAACGCUGGCGGCAUGCUUUACACAUGCAAGUCGAACGGUAACAGGCCGCAAGGUGCUGACGAGUGGCGAACGGGUGAGUAAUGCAUCGGAACGUGCCCAGUCGUGGGGGAUAACGCAGCGAAAGCUGUGCUAAUACCGCAUACGAUCUAUGGAUGAAAGCGGGGGACCGUAAGGCCUCGCGCGAUUGGAGCGGCCGAUGUCAGAUUAGGUAGUUGGUGGGGUAAAGGCCUACCAAGCCGACGAUCUGUAGCUGGUCUGAGAGGACGACCAGCCACACUGGGACUGAGACACGGCCCAGACUCCUACGGGAGGCAGCAGUGGGGAAUUUUGGACAAUGGGCGCAAGCCUGAUCCAGCAAUGCCGCGUGCAGGAAGAAGGCCUUCGGGUUGUAAACUGCUUUUGUACGGAACGAAACGGUCUGGGUUAAUACCCUGGGCUAAUGACGGUACCGUAAGAAUAAGCACCGGCUAACUACGUGCCAGCAGCCGCGGUAACAC